UACGGAGGGUGCAAGCGUUAUCCGGAUUCACUGGGCUUAAAGGGUGCGUAGGUGGGCAAGUAAGUCAGUGGUGAAAUCUCCGGGCUUAACCCGGAAACUGCCAUUGAUACUAUAUGUCUUGAAUACUGUGGAGGUCAGCGGAAUAUGUCAUGUAGCGGUGAAAUGCUUAGAUAUGACAUAGAACACCAAUUGCGAAGGCAGCUGGCUACACAAAUAUUGACACUGAGGCACGAAAGCGUGGGGAUCAAACAGG
rnacentral:rRNA from 1 species